rnacentral:rRNA from 1 species
AGUGAACGCUGGCGGUAGGCCUAACACAUGCAAGUCGAACGGCAGCACAGUAAGAGCUUGCUCUUACGGGUGGCGAGUGGCGGACGGGUGAGGAAUACAUCGGAAUCUACUUUUUCGUGGGGGAUAGCGUAGGGAAACUUACGCUAAUACCGCAUACGACCUACGGGUGAAAGCAGGGGAUCUUCGCACCUUGCGCGAUUGAAUGAGCCGAUGUCGGAUUAGCUAGUUGGCGGGGUAAAGGCCCACCAAGGCGACGAUCCGUAGCUGGUCUGAGAGGAUGAUCGGCCACACUGGAACUGAGACACGGUCCAGACUCCUACGGGAGGCAGCAGUGGGGAAUAUUGGACAAUGGGCGAAAGCCUGAUCCAGCCAUACCGCGUGGGUGAAGAAGGCCUUCGGGUUGUAAAGCCCUUUUGUUGGGAAAGAAAAGCAGCAGGUAAAUACGCCGCUGUUCUGACGGUACCCAAAGAAUAAGCACCGGCUAACUUCGUG